UNCCAUGUGUAGCGGUGAAAUGCGUAGAUAUAUGGAGGAACACCGGUGGCGAAAGCGGCUNUCUGGUCUGUCACUGACGCUGAGGCUCGAAAGCGUGGGUAGCGAACAGGAUUAGAUACCCUGGUAGUCCACGCCGUAAACGCUGAGUGCUAGGUGUUAGGUCCUUUCCGGGACUUAGUGCCGACGCUAACGCAUUAAGCACUCCGCCUGGGGAGUACGACCGCAAGGUUGAAACUCAAAGGAAUUGACGGGGGCCCGCACAAGCGGUGGAGCAUGUGGUUUAAUUCGAAGCAACGCGAAGAACCUUACCAGGUCUUGACAUCCCGAUGCCCGCUCUAGAGAUAGAGUUUUACUUUUUGUACAUCGGAGACAGGUGGUGCAUGGUUGUCGUCAGCUCGUGUCGUGGGAUGUUGGGUUAAGUCCCGCAACGAGCGCAACCCUUAUUGUUAGUUGCCAUCAUUAAGUUGGGCACUCUAGCGAGACUGCCGGUAAUAAACCGGAGGAAGGUGGGGAUGACGUCAAAUCAUCAUGCCCCUUAUGACCUGGGCUACACACGUGCUACAAUGGUUGGUACAACGAGUCGCAAGCCGGUGACGGCAAGCUAAUCUCUGAAAGCCAAUCUCAGUUCGGAUUGUAGGCUGCAACUCGCCUACAUGAAGUCGGAAUCGCUAGUAAUCGCGGAUCAGCACGCCGCGGUGAAUACGUUCCCGGGCCUUGUACACACCGCCCGUCACACCACGAGAGUUUGUAACACCCAAAGUCGGUGAGG
rnacentral:rRNA from 1 species